UGGGGAAUAUUGGACAAUGGGCGCACGCCUGAUCCAGCCAUGCCGCGUGUGUGAAGAAGGCCUUUUGGUUGUAAAGCACUUUAAGCGAGGAGGAGGCUACUUGGAUUAAUACUCUAGGAUAGUGUACGUUACUCGCAGAAUAAGCACCGGCUAACUCUGUGCCAGCAGCCGCGGUAAUACAGAGGGUGCGAGCGUUAAUCGGAUUUACUGGGCGUAAAGCGUGCGUAGGCGGCUUCUUAAGUCGGAUGUGAAAUCACUGAGCUUAACUUAGGAAUUGCAUUCGAUACUGGGAAGCUAGAGUAUGGGAGAGGAUGGUAGAAUUCCAGGUGUAGCGGUGAAAUGCGUAGAGAUCUGGAGGAAUACCGAUGGCGAAGGCAGCCAUCUGGCCUGAUACUGACGCUGAGGUACGAAAGCAUGGGGAGCAAACAGG
rnacentral:rRNA from 1 species